AGAAUCAACGCUGGCGGCGUGCCUAACACAUGCAAGUCGAACGAGAACGGGUAGCAAUACCUUAGUAAAGUGGCGCACGGGUGAGUAACACGUGACUAACCUACCCUAGAGUGGGGGAUAACUGAGAGAAAUCUUAGCUAAUACCGCAUAACACCUACGGGUCAAAGGAGCAAUUCGCUUCAGGAGGGGGUCGCGGCAGAUUAGAUAGUUGGCGGGGUAAUGGCCCACCAAGUCAGUGAUCUGUA
rnacentral:rRNA from 1 species